GCGGCAGGCCUAACACAUGCAAGUCGAGGGGUAACAGGGUAGCAAUAUCGCUGACGACCGGCGCACGGGUGAGUAAUGCAUAUGCAACCUUCCUUUAACUGGGGCAUAGCCCGGAGAAAUCCGGAUUAAUACCCCAUAAGAUCAUAGAGAGGCAUCUUUUAGUGAUUAAAGCUCCGGCGGUUAAAGAUGGGCAUAUGUGCCAUUAGCUUGUUGGUGAGGUAACGGCUCACCAAGGCUACGAUGGUUAGGGGGUCUGAGAGGAUGAUCCCCCACACUGGUACUGAGACACGGACCAGACUCCUACGGGAGGCAGCAGUGAGGAAUAUUGGGCAAUGGGCGCAAGCCUGACCCAGCCAUGCCGCGUGAAGGAUGAAUGCCCUAUGGGUUGUAAACUUCUUUUUUACGGGAAGAAACUCCUGAACGUGUUCGGGAUUGACGGUACCGUAUGAAUAAGCAUCGGCUAACUCCGUGCCAGCAGCCGCGGUAAUAC
rnacentral:rRNA from 1 species